ACCCGCUGAACUUAAGCAUAUCAAUAAGCGGAGGAAAAGAAACCAACAGGGAUUGCCCUAGUAACGGCGAGUGAAGCGGCAACAGCUCAAAUUUGAAAUCUGGCGUCUUUGGCGUCCGAGUUGUAAUUUGCAGAGGGCGCUUUGGCAUUGGCAGCGGUCCAAGUUCCUUGGAACAGGACGUCACAGAGGAUGAGAAUCCCGUACGUGGUCGCUAGCCUUUACCGUGUAAAGCCCCUUCGACGAGUCGAGUUGUUUGGGAAUGCAGCUCUAAAUGGGAGGUAAAUUUCUUCUAAAGCUAAAUACUGGCCAGAGACCGAUAGCGCACAAGUAGAGUGAUCGAAAGAUGAAAAGCACUUUGGAAAGAGAGUUAAAAAGCACGUGAAAUUGUUGAAAGGGAAGCGCUUGCAGCCAGACUUGCCUGUAGUUGCUCAUCCGGGUUUUUACCCGGUGCACUCUUCUAUAGGCAGGCCAGCAUCAGUUUGGGCGGUUGGAUAAAGGUCUCUGUCAUGUACCUCUCUUCGGGGAGAACUUAUAGGGGAGACGACAUGCAACCAGCCCGGACUGAGGUCCGCGCAUCUGCUAGGAUGCUGGCGUAAUGGCUGU
rnacentral:rRNA from 1 species